GCGGCUCAGCGUUAGAGACUCUGCUUUGCAUGCAGAAGGUCCCAGGUUCAAUCCCUGCCAGGACCC